AGUGAACGCUGGCGGCAGGCCUAACACAUGCAAGUCGAACGGCAGCACAAGAGAGCUUGCUCUCUGGGUGGCGAGUGGCGGACGGGUGAGGAAUGCAUCGGAAUCUGCCCAUUUGUGGGGGAUAACCUCGGGAAACCGGGACUAAUACCGCAUACGACCUACGGGUGAAAGCAGGGGAUCUUCGGACCUUGCGCAGAUGGAUGAGCCGAUGCCGGAUUAGCUAGUGGGAGGGGUAAAGGCCCACCAAGGCGACGAUCCGUAGCUGGUCUGAGAGGAUGAUCAGCCACACUGGGACUGAGACACGGCCCAGACUCCUACGGGAGGCAGCAGUGGGGAAUAUUGGACAAUGGGCGCAAGCCUGAUCCAGCCAUGCCGCGUGUGUGAAGAAGGCCUUCGGGUUGUAAAGCACUUUUGUUGGGAAAGAAAAGCAGCCGGUUAAUACCCGGUUGUCAUGACGGUACCCAAAGAAUAAGCACCGGCUAACUUCGUG
rnacentral:rRNA from 1 species